rnacentral:rRNA from 1 species
UACGUAGGGGGCAAGCGUUGUCCGGAUUUAUUGGGCGUAAAGGGCGCGUAGGCGGUGCGGUAAGUCACCUGUGAAAACUCUGGGCUCAACUCAGAGCCUGCAGGCGAAACUGCCGUGCUUGAGUGUGGGAGAGGUGCGUGGAAUUCCCGGUGUAGCGGUGGAAUGCGCAGAUAUCAGGAGGAACACCGAUGGCGAAGGCAGGUCUCUGGGCCAUAACUGACGCUGAGAAGCGAAAGCAUGGGGAGCGAACAGG